CCUGCACGUUCUGCACAUUUAUAGCAGAACUUGAAGUAAAAUUUUAAAAAUUUUUUUAAAAAGGUGCUCAAAUCUACCAAUUGGUAGUUUCCAUCUGCUUUUCACUGACGUGUCUUAAUCACCUGGCCAUACUAAGAAAGGGAGCUGGGAAAUGUAGGUUUGUUGCCAGGCAGCCAGUUUCCAAGACUGACAAUAAUAGGGGCAAAUUGACAAUGGGGGAAAAACAGCCAUUUCUUCCCAUAUCCUUAUCCAGUCCUUAAAAAAAUAUUCCAUACCUGUAGCAAUAUGUUAGGACAAGCUUUAAUACCAGAUGAUGGCAGCUGAAAGUAGUCAUAUAAUUCUAAACAAAACAUGUAUAUCUUCCAGAAUAAAAUAGUGUCUGGCUAGCAGCCUCUGAAGUUCUGGCAAAACAGAAAAAGAAGAGAAAAAUGAAAACAUUUUAAACGAUAGAAACACAUGACAGGACCAAACAUUAAAAUGUGUGGUCCAAUUGUUCGAGUCUGUGAAGACGUUUCAUUGACUGAAAAGCUUCUCUAGAAGACAGAUGGAUCAAGCUUAAAUACAUUUUCUUAUUUGAUGCCUACCAGUCUGAACUAACCAGGAAAUAUUGCCUCUAUCUGUUCCAGAUNNNNNNNNNNNNNNNNNNN
rnacentral:lncRNA from 1 species